CCGGGACCGGCCAGUCCGGCGCCGGCGCGCCGCGGCCCCAGACGGACAACUCCCUCUUCCCCGCCCCGCGCUCCACUGCCUCCCGCGGAGGCCCGGCCCAGCCCCGGGACCCUACGCCCAGGGACAUCCCCUUCCUCGCCUGGACGCCCAGAGCUCCGCUGGAGAGCGCGUCGGCUCCACAGCCUCAGAGACCCAGGGACACUCACCACGGAGGCUCCUCCCGCUGCUGCUGCUGCUGGGACCGCUGCCGUCGCCUCCGCCGCCGCCGCCCCCAGCACCGCCGUCCGCACCAGCGCCAGCACCCGCGGCCAUCCUCCUCCUGCCGCCGCCGCCCUCUCCUCUCCUCUUCUGUCAGUGGCUCAGGCUCCGGGACUGCUCCAGGUUCCCCACGCCGCCAUUUUGACUCCUCCAGGGAGCAGGAGGGGCUCGGCUCGGCGCGGCCCUGGGGCGCCUGCGCGGCGCUGCGGAGCCUACCCGGCCCCGCCCGCCCUCGCCGACGGCGCGCUGGGUCACGUGAUGCGGUGUCGGCGCCUGCGCCUGAGUCAGGGGCGAGGAGCACCGGGGAGGCGCGUUCGUGGGGCCUGGACCCGUGGGAGCCGAGUGCAAGCUCUUUAUUCCUGCUCGUUUUCUAGGUGUGGGGUGACAGAUCGUUCUGUAUUUGCAGCUCUUUGUAGCAUCUCGCUUAUUUCAGGGAACUGUGGCACAUUAUUAAAUGUAUCAGAAUGAAAUCGUAAUAACUGCGUCACUAGACGAUCAGUUCUAUCAAUUCACGUUCUGCUCGGCGGCCGACAUCCUUGGAGUGAUCGGGCAUGAUGCAUCAUUGUCUCAGGGAACUGCAAUUCCGUGGAAAAGUACUCUGACAGACUUGGCGCUUCGGUGGCUGCUUCUUGGCAGUGUUUCUUAAAGCAUUUGCCUGCGUGGUCCCUUUACAGGCACCACUUUGCUAAUUUGUAUAGUGGCUAUAAAAAAGUCUUAGGGGUGUAACUCCGUGGUAGAACGCGUACUUAGCAUGUACAGGGCCCCGGGUCCCAGUCCCAGAUCAUAAAGGCACUGAGGUUUCCCUCUCAAGAUCCCACCAAACACAGGACAGCACUCAUGGAAGCUUACAAUCCGCACUUGGGAGAGCCAAAUUGCUUCCUUAGAUAACCCUUGUUUGGGAGUCUGCAAUAAUUUCAACGUUGCAACAACAAAAACACCUUAUAUUUAUGAAGCACUCUUACAAUUUUCAAAACAGUUAAAUACAUGGUCUCAUUUGAACGCCAAAAACCACCCUUUGAGGUAGUUGGAACAGGUGUUACUAUUGCCAAUUUUCAGCUAAAUGAGCAAGCCAAGACUAGCAUACAGGCUUCUGACUCUGGCCAAUGAGCACUAUUGCAUCUCACUAGCCUCUGACAGGUUUAAACAAUAUUGCUGUAAAUUCUUCCAGGAAUUUAUUUUAAAGUAUUUGCAUUUUCCAUCUCUAUCCACUCUUUAAGAUGGGUAGCUGGCAGGCCUCUUUUAAGUUUUUUAAAAAUUAUUUUUAGUUGUAGAUGGACGCAAUACCUUUAUUUAUUUUUUUGUGGUGCUGAGGAUCAAAUCCAAUGCCUCAUAGGUGCUAGGCAAGCACUAGGCAAGCGCUCUGCCACUGAGCUAAGACCCCAGCCCUUUUGAGUUGUUUUUAAACCUCCUCUGAAACCAGGGGAAAACCUGAACAAACCCUUUAGAUUUAAGUUGCUCUUAGUUACUUGAUUUUCUAGACUAACCCACUUCAUAUACUCUGAGCUAUGUAUUUUUUUUCUAAGUAUUAGUCAUUUAGUUAACUAAAAGUUAACACCUCUGAGGUGUAGAUUAUAAUGGUGACACAUUAUAAUGUGACAGUUGAUGAAGUUUGAUCUAAUAAAUAUUCCCAAAUCCUAUUUGGGGGAGGUGGAUUUAAGUCUUACUCUCUAGUCUCCACAUGCUUGGCUGCCUCAUGAAUAGAUUCUUUCUGUUUUGCAAAAUUCAUUAUUUCAGUAUUGGGUGUACUCUGUUUCAUGCAACUCCAAGCUCCACGGGAUAAAAGCAAUGUGGAGUUUUGUUAUGUGUUUUAAACCAUCUCUUGAUCCCUUAUUAUUUUAUCCAUUUUGUAAUCAGUUGCAGGACUUAUAUUUUUUUAGAUAUCUUCCAAUGUCAUUGCUUUUUUUUGGUUCUUUCUUCAGAUUUGUUAUUUCUUCCUUGUGUUCAUCCACCACAUCCCUUUUUUUGAAAAGACAGUUCUUUCCAAUUUGUAUUAGUUUACUCUUUCCUCUUCUAUCCUAUGUGUCUCCCCUACUUUAAUCCUUGAAUAUUUGGAGAUUAUAGUAUAUUGUAGUAAGGAUUCAAAAAAGGAUUCCCCUCUAGCUGACAAAUCUUACCAACCGUGCACCCAGCUGUAGAUAAUGGGCAAGAAGUAGAUGAAAAAUUGAGAAAAUCAAGGGAAAUAGGCCCAUCUAGUUGGAGCCAAUGAUUAGUUCUGAGUGUCUACCUCCUAUUCCCCUACUGUUAUACUUCUCCUAAAUUUAUAAUUUAAAUUAUAAAUUGAAGCCACCUACCAUUAUUUCCCAUUAUUUGGCCUUUGUCCUCAUCAACUAAACGUUAUGUCACUGUAAAGGGGUUCCAGGUGGUCUCUCCAGAGGCAGAGGAGAUCUCCACCUAGACCUUCCCUGCUCUUGACACAUUGCAGAAAAGAAUUUAAGGACGAGUCAGAUUUUAGCAAAGAGGAAGAUUUUUAUUAGAAAGGGAGAGGUGGAGGUACACAUUCUCAGAGCAGAAUGAAGGUUAUCUAGGCGUGGGCAGGGGAAGGUAUCUGGGAACAGCACAAGUAUGGCGAUCCCAGGAGGUUUAUGAUGGUCUCGUCUUCCAGGAUCUUCAGGUUGACAUUGCCUCUUUUAUCUAGAUGACAUUUGAAAUGUGUCUAUGGUGUAGGUUUCUUAAAAUGCACCUCCCUGUGUUUGAUCUAAUCUGAAAAUACAUUGUGUGUCUAACAGUGCUCUUGCAUUUUAAUUAAAAUGAGGCAAUUUUCAUAGAUGAGUGAAUUUACAAUAACUUUUAAAUUUGUAGAUUUCUUAGAAAUUUGGGAGUGACAAGCCUGGGAGAAAAACUGGCCUGGGAGGAAACAUAUGAGGAAUUUUAACACAAGGCUUUCAGAUUGUUGUAAUCUCCUUUUACUUCCUUUUAUUUAUUCUGUUUUCAUUGAAUUAACUGAAAAGGCAAGAGAAAGUUAGAUACACCCUGAAAAGAAAGACAGGCAAAUUGACUAGGGAUUGAAAUGUGACAAAAUGAUUAGGUUUAGGGCUUUUGUUAGGAUAUAGGGUGGAAUUUGCAGUAGCAUAAAACCUUGAAGUGGUACUUAGCCAUGAUCUAAAAUGAAAAACUCCUUUGUUGUGGUGCACACCUGUAAUCCCUGCUACAUAGUAGGUUGAUGUAGGAGUAUCACAGUUUAGGGCCAGCCUGGGCAACAUAGCAAGACCCUAUCUAAAAAUUCAAAAUGGAACAAAACAAAUUUAUAAUCCAAAACAAACUAAAAAGGACUGGCAAUGUAACUCAGUGAUAAUAUCACUGGAGGAGUUCCCAGAGAGGGGUUCUGGUUUCAGAACAUUUGGAAUCCUUGACUUAUGUGGCAAAAAGAAGAAAAAGGAAAAAAAAAAUUCCGCACCUACAGUUAGAGACAAAGACAGAUUUCUUUGGGAAAGCAGAUGCACAUUCAAAUAAGAAUGCAGGCCAUUUCCAAAACAAGAGAUAGCAAAUGGUUUGGGGCAUUAAUAUUUGUAGAGGGAAAUGUGUGGAGGUGCACACCUGUAUUCUCAGUGACUUGGGAGGCUGAGGCAGGAGGAUCACAAGUUCAAGGCUAGCCUCAGCAACUUAGUGAGAACCUGUCUCAAAAUAAAAAAUAAAAAGGGCUAAGGAUGUGGCUCAGUGUUAAGUGCCCCUGGGUUCAAUCUCCAGCAACCCCACCCCACAAAUUUCCUUGUCUA
rnacentral:lncRNA from 1 species